rnacentral:rRNA from 1 species
AAAACGACUCUCGGCAACGGAUAUCUCGGCUCUCGCAUCGAUGAAGAACGUAGCGAAAUGCGAUACUUGGUGUGAAUUGCAGAAUCCCGUGAACCAUCGAKUCUUUGAACGCAAGUUGCGCCCCAAGCCGUUAGGCCGAGGGMACGCCUGCCUGGGUGUCACGC